GAUGAACGCUGGCGGCGUGCCUAAUACAUGCAAGUCGAGCGAACAGACGAGGAGCUUGCUCCUCUGACGUUAGCGGCGGACGGGUGAGUAACACGUGGAUAACCUACCUAUAAGACUGGGAUAACUUCGGGAAACCGGAGCUAAUACCGGAUAACAUGUUUAACCGCAUGGUUCAACAGUGAAAGACGGUCUUGCUGUCACUUAUAGAUGGAUCCGCGCCGCAUUAGCUAGUUGGUAAGGUAACGGCUUACCAAGGCAACGAUGCGUAGCCGACCUGAGAGGGUGAUCGGCCACACUGGAACUGAGACACGGUCCAGACUCCUACGGGAGGCAGCAGUAGGGAAUCUUCCGCAAUGGACGAAAGCCUGACGGAGCAACGCCGCGUGAGUGAAGAAGGUCUUCGGAUCGUAAAACUCUGUUAUUAGGGAAGAACAAAUGUGUAAGUAACUAUGCACGUCUUGACGGUACCUAAUCAGAAAGCCACGGCUAACUACGUG
rnacentral:rRNA from 1 species